CCACCCUCCGGCUCAAAGACUUUGCAAGGAAACUACCUACGAACUGUUUCCCUUUGGGAGUCCCGAAUUCACCGAUGGACGGAGUUAUUAGAAAAGUUUCCUUUGGUCAUACCAAGGAAUGACCCGGUAGAUAAACUGCACUGUCUAAUGGACCAAGAGUAUCGCCAUGGUUGAACUGGAUGAUCUGUUUAACUGAAGCCUUUGGAGCAGAGAGAUGGAAGAGGAGCCAAGUGGCUAGAAGCAAAAGAGAGACUCUCAAAGUGUUGAGGAAGGAGAAGAAACCUUUGUGCAGAUACCAACAGGGAGAAGAACUUGAACGAGUGUCUGGAAAGCACUCUAUGAAGCAGCAGGGGAAGAAUUCUCUCAAGUUGCUAAAGUCGGGAUGCCAUGGUGAGCCAGCCUUUACCAAACACUCCACACGGAAUAUGUACAACUUACAAGUUCAAAGGGAGGUGAAGUAAACGUACUUUUAGGAAACGGAAAUAUGUUUGUCAGCGAAUUUAUAUUUCCACAAAUCUCUUAUGCGGACACUCAGAGUAAGAAAUGUCGAUAGGAAGGAGACCACUCAGACCUGAUCACAUGACAAAAGCAGCCCCAUAUUUAGAAUCUUAGGCUUUACAAAAAUUUUUUUCAAUGUGCAUUUAAUUUUUGAGAGAGAGAGACACACACACAGAAAGCGA